rnacentral:rRNA from 1 species
GACGAACGCUGGCGGCGUGCUUAACACAUGCAAGUCGAACGGUGAUCUUGAGAGCUUGCUCUUGGGUGAUCAGUGGCGAACGGGUGAGUAACACGUGAGCAACCUGCCCCAGACUCUGGAAUAACCCCGGGAAACCGGAGCUAAUACCGGAUACGACACUGGCCCGCAUGGGUAUGGUGUGGAAAGUUUUUCGGUCUGGGAUGGGCUCGCGGCCUAUCAGCUUGUUGGUGAGGUAGUGGCUCACCAAGGCGACGACGGGUAGCCGGCCUGAGAGGGCGACCGGCCACACUGGGACUGGGACACGGCCCAGACUCCUACGGGAGGCAGCAGUGGGGAAUAUUGCACAAUGGGCGCAAGCCUGAUGCAGCGACGCCGCGUGAGGGAUGACGGCCUUCGGGUUGUAAACCUCUUUCAGCAGGGAAGAAGCGCAAGUGACGGUACCUGCAGAAGAAGCACCGGCUAACUACGUGCCAGCAGCCGCGGUAAUACGUAGGGUGCGAGCGUUGCCCGGAAUUAUUGGGCGUAAAGAGCUUGUAGGCGGUUUGUCGCGUCUGCUGUGAAAAUCCGGGGCUCAACCCCGGACUUGCAGUGGGUACGGGCAGGCUAGAGUGUGGUAGGGGAGACUGGAAUUCCUGGUGUAGCGGUGAAAUGCGCAGAUAUCAGGAGGAACACCGAUGGCGAAGGCAGGUCUCUGGGCCACUACUGACGCUGAGAAGCGAAAGCAUGGGGAGCGAACAGGAUUAGAUACCCUGGUAGUCCAUGCCGUAAACGUUGGGAACUAGGUGUGGGUCUCAUUCCACGAGAUCCGUGCCGCAGCUAACGCAUUAAGUUCCCCGCCUGGGGAGUACGGCCGCAAGGCUA